rnacentral:rRNA from 1 species
CAAUUUAAACAACGAAGAGUUUGAUCCUGGCUCAGGAUGAACGCUAGCGACAGGCUUAACACAUGCAAGUCGAGGGGCAGCACAGGUAGCAAUACCGGGUGGCGACCGGCGCACGGGUGAGUAACGCGUAUGCAACUUACCUAUCAGAGGGGGAUAACCCGGCGAAAGUCGGACUAAUACCGCAUGAAGCAGGGGCCCCGCAUGGGGAUAUUUGCUAAAGAUUCAUCGCUGAUAGAUAGGCAUGCGUUCCAUUAGGCAGUUGGCGGGGUAACGGCCCACCAAACCGACGAUGGAUAGGGGUUCUGAGAGGAAGGUCCCCCACAUUGGUACUGAGACACGGACCAAACUCCUACGGGAGGCAGCAGUGAGGAAUAUUGGUCAAUGGCCGAGAGGCUGAACCAGCCAAGUCGCGUGAGGGAUGAAGGUUCUAUGGAUCGUAAACCUCUUUUAUAAGGGAAUAAAGUGCGGGACGUGUCCCGUUUUGUAUGUACCUUAUGAAUAAGGAUCGGCUAACUCCGUGCCAGCAGCCGCGGUAAUACGGAGGAUCCGAGCGUUAUCCGGAUUUAUUGGGUUUAAAGGGUGCGUAGGCGGCCUUUUAAGUCAGCGGUGAAAGUCUGUGGCUCAACCAUAGAAUUGCCGUUGAAACUGGGGGGCUUGAGUAUGUUUGAGGCAGGCGGAAUGCGUGGUGUAGCGGUGAAAUGCAUAGAUAUCACGCAGAACCCCGAUUGCGAAGGCAGCCUGCCAAGCCAUUACUGACGCUGAUGCACGAAAGCGUGGGGAUCAAACAGGAUUAGAUACCCUGGUAGUCCACGCAGUAAACGAUGAUCACUAGCUGUUUGCGAUACACUGUAAGCGGCACAGCGAAAGCGUUAAGUGAUCCACCUGGGGAGUACGCCGGCAACGGUGAAACUCAAAGGAAUUGACGGGGGCCCGCACAAGCGGAGGAACAUGUGGUUUAAUUCGAUGAUACGCGAGGAACCUUACCCGGGUUUGAACGCAUUCGGACCGAGGUGGAAACACCUUUUCUAGCAAUAGCCGUUUGCGAGGUGCUGCAUGGUUGUCGUCAGCUCGUGCCGUGAGGUGUCGGCUUAAGUGCCAUAACGAGCGCAACCCUUGCCACUAGUUACUAACAGGUAAAGCUGAGGACUCUGGUGGGACUGCCAGCGUAAGCUGCGAGGAAGGCGGGGAUGACGUCAAAUCAGCACGGCCCUUACAUCCGGGGCGACACACGUGUUACAAUGGCGUGGACAAAGGGAGGCCACCUGGCGACAGGGAGCGAAUCCCCAAACCACGUCUCAGUUCGGAUCGGAGUCUGCAACCCGACUCCGUGAAGCUGGAUUCGCUAGUAAUCGCGCAUCAGCCAUGGCGCGGUGAAUACGUUCCCGGGCCUUGUACACACCGCCCGUCAAGCCAUGGGAGCCGGGGGUACCUGAAGUCCGUAACCGCGAGGAUCGGCCUAGGGUAAAACUGGUGACUGGGGCUAAGUCGUAACAAGGUAGCCGUACCGGAAGGUGCGGCUGGAACACCUCCUUUCUGGAGC